rnacentral:rRNA from 1 species
UGGGGAAUAUUGGACAAUGGGCGAAAGCCUGAUCCAGCCAUGCCGCGUGUGUGAAGAAGGUCUUCGGAUUGUAAAGCACUUUAAGUUGGGAGGAAGGGCAGUAAGCGAAUACCUUGCUGUUUUGACGUUACCGACAGAAUAAGCACCGGCUAACUCUGUGCCAGCAGCCGCGGUAAUACAGAGGGUGCAAGCGUCAAUCGGAAUUACUGGGCGUAAAGCGCGCGUAGGUGGUUCGUUAAGUUGAAUGUGAAAGCCCCGGGCUCAACCUGGGAACUGCAUCAAAAACUGGCGAGCUAGAGUAGGGCAGAGGGUGGUGGAAUUUCCUGUGUAGCGGUGAAAUGCGUAGAUAUAGGAAGGAACACCAGUGGCGAAGGCGACCACCUGGGCUCAUACUGACACUGAGGUGCGAAAGAGUGGGGAGCAAACAGG